rnacentral:lncRNA from 1 species
ACCAACUUAAGUCACCGCUUUUGACCAAGAAGGACGAUCUAGGAAUGCCAAGCAUUUACUGCUCCAUAAAUGGAUACAACUUCUACAAGACGACUUGUGACACCGGAUCGGGCGUCAACAUAAUGGCCGCAGUCACCUAUCGGCUCUUGUUCGGAACCAUGCCACUAAGACCAACAUACAUUCAGCUCCAGAUGGCAGAUCAGACAUUUCGAGAAGUCAAAGGAAUAGUAACUGAUGUCCCAGUCAAAAUAGACGAUCACUUUGUCUACACAGACUUUCAAGUUAUUGACAUGGGAGAAGACAAAUACGAUCCACCCAUCAUCCUUGGAAGACCGUUCCUCAGCACCGUUAAAGCAAUUAUCUACAUUGGAACCGGAGAAGUCCAUAUGCACUUCCCCUUAGAGAAGGUACGCCGUUAUUUUACUGACCCUAACUAUAUCAUUGAAGAAUCUAAGCAGGUAAGAAAGCGACGCAACCGCAACCAGAGGAGGCAGAUCAUCAAGUACGGAUGGGCAGACUAUGAAGGAGAAGUUGUAAGGUCAGAAGACGUAGAGUUUAAAUAGAAUUAUCCAGAGGAGAUUGAAGCACCGAGUCAGGUAUGGAAAAUGAAGAUAACUAUACAAGAAGAGGAGGCGCUGCCGGAAGUACCGACUACGCCACCCAAUGAACCUCAGGACGAUUAAGAAAAUGGAGAGUCCCGUUCGGAGGACUUAAGAACACCGAACGCCUUGCCAAGAGGUAAACUUGGUAGUUAUCCUUUCCCUUUCAAUUAUUUCAAUUAUUUUACUUAGUUAAUCAUAUUCGUAUUAUCCUAGAAAGAAAAUAAAAAUAUAAAAAAACAGGGAGUAAUAUUUAUUAAGGAGUCUCAACAUGAUAAAGGCUAGAUAUUUAUGCUAACACUUAAUCAAGUUCCACAAGCUUUGUUGUCUAUUUGAGCUCCACAGGAUUCAAGAAUCAAGAAGACUAGCAGACGGAGGACAUUCUAAUCGCUGUCAGAAUGCUGCUGACUUUCAAAUACACCUCUACCACCUGCUAGCUACAUCAAGAGAAAUUACGUCAAAAUUCAGCUUGGGGGAGAGCACCCCCAUUUACCUCGAUAAGUAUUUCUAUCUAUCUUUAUACUUAUAUUAUUUUAGAAUAUAAAUACACAUAAACUAUGGAAAACCAAAUAAAGAUUUUAUGCUUAUAUAUAUAUAUGUCUUUUGCGCAGUGUGUUUAAUAAAUAAAUAAAGUAGCUAUGCUAAUCUGUAUCUAAAUAAAACUUAAGCAUGGAUAUGAUGAAUAGUUACUCUACCUAAUUUGCACAUUUUAAGUUCUCUCUCAAGUUUAGAUAUAACUGUUAUAAUUUAAAGUUUGCUCUAGACCUAAACUUGUGGGAUGAAAACUUGAUCUGAAGUCUAAGUUGUUAACGGAUAUGAUAUGGGAAGGUUGAGCUGCUAUUUAUCUGUUCCUAGAUAUGCUAGAAUUCUGGAGAAUUUUAUCUUUGAAAAUCUUUAAAAUGUUGCAUGAUGAGUUCCUAUGUGAUGAGAGUUUAAAUUCCUACCACAGCCAUAUAUACAUGCUUGCUAGACUUUGAGCCACACAUUUAAUAUUUACUACUUAUGAGCAUUGAGUGUGGUCAAGCUGUGUAGACCCUUAGGAGCUUGUCAUGUGGUUAAAUCAAGAUUUCACUUGCACGUUCACUCAUAUAUGCUACUUCUACUCCGGAAGUACCAUCCACAUAUAUCUAUUCAUUUCCAUCUCCAGAAUCACCCAAAAAUAUUCUACUCCUAAUCCGGGAGAGAAUAACCAAAAAUAUUUCUGUUUUCCCCUUGUGAAAUAAAUGCUCAAGUUAUCUUGUUACUACCACUUGCUAUAUUAUCUCAAGAGAUGAAUGCUCUAAAAAAAAGAAAAAAAAAAGAUACGAGGAAAUAAAAAGGAGCAAGUGCUCGGAACCUCGAAAGAAAAGAAAAAGUGAGACGAGAGGUAAAAAUGGACAAGUGUCCGACAGUAGAAUUAGGGGUACAAGAUACCCACCUGAGAGGAAAGAAAAAGAAGAGCAUCUCAUUCUCCUCAUAAAGUUUCAAAAAGCAAGGAAGGUAUGUAUCCCCUCAAAGAGCAAAGUAGAAUUAGACUUCCACCACCAUUGUUUUCACCAUUGCUAUCACCAUCAUCACCAUACACCAUUCAUUCGCCACACAUGCACAUCUUGAUUUGACUUAUUGAUUUGUUUCUUUGGAUCCAUGGUUUGACUAUGAAAUAAAUGUCUUGUAAGUAUGUAUAUUUUAUCUCCCACCUAUGAGCUCCAGAUAUUAAAGCCUUAUUAGAGUAGGGUGAGAGAGAAGGCAAUGUCACUAUGCCUCAUACCACAAAUACUACAUAUCUUGAGAGAAGGCAUAUACCAUCACUGCCUUGGUAAGGAUCCAAAAAUACCACAAAAGAGAGACCUGAGAGAAUCAUACAAGGAAUCUCUGAGUUUUAUUUGAAAAUCUGCAAAAAACUCUAGAGCUAUAGCUGAUCAAGAAUAAGAGACAUGGCACUUGGCUAGACUGUUCUAUCUUUUAACCACUCAAGACAGAAGUGACGGUUACAAGUCCCAUGGUGAAGGUAAAAUAAGUAAGUUUUAAGUCUUGACAGUUUACUCUAACUCAGAGAUGAGAUCUUAUUUAAAAGCAUGUGUACCGUCAAAUUUUUCAAAAUAUUGCAACUACUUAUGAUCCAUAGCUGAGUCUAUCCUUGCUCAGGGACGAGCAAGAGGUAUGCUUGGGGGAGUUUGUUGACGGUCCUUAAGUAUCAAAUUUAAUUAUCAAAUAAAUAAAGAAAAGGAUCCAAAUGAAAUCAACAUCUAGACUUAGGGUUUUAUCUGACAGAAUUCCACGAGUUUUGGUAUUUGUCUAUUUCUGCAGGGGGUUAUCAGGAAAUACGGAAGAAAGGCCCACACGUCGGGAUUACAUAGAGAUAUUAAUGUGCCGCGCAAUUAUCUUACAUCUAGAAGACUCCAGAAGCCACGAGACCAAAGUGGAGGCGAAACGGGGCCAGAGGCAGGGCGCCCGCCCUCCUGCCUUGGGUGCCCGCCCCCUCCCUGAGUCCAAUCAGGACUCUGCUUCGUCGGAGAUCUCCACCGACCUAAAGGAUGAAUCUAAACCAUACAAUCUAUGUCGGUUUGAUCCAACGGCCCAUAUUCACUUGAAGGGACUAUAAAACCAGACCCCCUGGCCCCUGGAGGAGAGAGCCUCUCAACCCUAAUUCAUUGUUCCAUCAAGGGAGAAGAAGCCUCUGAUCAAGAUUAGAGCCACCACAUCAAUUAGACAUCUAGAUUAGCAUAGCUACAUAGGAUUAGAACUAGAAGGAGUCAAUCUUCGAUUGGUUUCCGGAUCUGUCAAGAGGAUUCUUGGUAAUUCUCUAAUUGUGCUUCUAAUUACUUUCUAAUUAUCUUUGUUCUUCAAUAUUAUGAAUAUGACUUUGUUCUACUUCAAUAUAUUGCUUAUGACUUUGCUCUACUUGCUUAUAUUCAAGAUUAUAUUGUUCUUAGUUUAUCAUAGUUAUGUACUUGGCUUAGUUAGAUUCGAUCUAUAUACAUGCUUAGGAUCGUAUAGCGUUUAUCCAUCGGAUCCAUGGGUAAAUGAUAGAUAUUGUGUAGGCGUGGUGCUUAUACCGUAUUUAUCUGCGAUUGUACCCAAUAUGCCAGAUCGUGGGGUGGUUCGUGAUAGUGACAGCUUCAUUGAUUCUUAUAUAGUCCCCCUCUCGUGUAUUGGGCUGGGAGAGCAACAUUAUUACAGGGGAGUGAUUGCUAUGUUUCUCACAUUCCUUGCUAAUAUCACUAUGCAUGGGCGUAGUCUUGUCUCACAAUGAUUGCUAAGUAUGCUUGCACUAACUAUGAUAAUGCUAGACUAUAUAGUUGAGAAUAACUUAGGGAAUAUUCUUGUAGUUCGUUCUAAUACCAUGCUAAUGACUUUCUAGAGUAUCUAAUUGAGGUGCUUAUCAUAUUUAUUAUGUGGCUAGAUCAGAUUAGUUAUCCUUGUCACUAUUAUUAUUUUAUAUAUCUUUUAUGUGACACUUAUCCCUGUAUGAAGAGUUAGAUAUAAUGUUCUCAAUUAUACAUGCAAUGAUAGAUGCUCAAUCUCAUAUUCUAUUCUGUAAUCAAUAGUGAUGAUUGCUAAUCCCUUCCUAGUGGUAAAAAUAUAAAUAACAAUACCUGGAAUACUUCCCUAUUAAAAUGUUGCAUCGGUAUUAAUCUGUGCGCUUGCAGAUCCCAUUCAUUAUUUAUUUAGAAGAGCAAUUGCAUAUUUCAAUACCGCGUCUCUCAUGUCAUGCUGGGGAUGACAACUUGGCUUAAGUGGUGUGAGGGAUAGGUUUGGCAUUUUUGGCACCGUUACUAGAUUUACAGAACUUAGUCUACUUUUGGUGAUGAUGUUAAGAAUACCCAACAAACACACAACACGCAAGACAACACUCAUACGCAGCAGAACUUCCAUACUCCACCUCAUUCCAUACCACACUUGUAUUCACCCAUGUACAAGCACUUAGGUGCAAGAUAAUACAAACUCCCCUCCCUCGCUGGACGUAGGGCCUUCUCUUGCCUGAACCAGGAUAAAUCUUUGUGUCUUCUUGCAUCACAAUCUAGGAAAGGGAAGCACGCAUACAAAUUCACUCAUUGGUGUGACCCCCCGUGGGGAAAACACCGACAGUUGGCGCACCAGGUAGGGGUCCUGCAUGUUUUUCAUCGAUUUCCCACUCCUUUCUGGAUGGCCACCCUCGCUUCGCCGAUUCCGCGCUCCACGGUGAUUUGGUUUGGGAGUCUCGAGUUCAUGUCGACUGGCUCCGGCUAUGACAUGAUCUUGCUCUCGAUUAAAGGACCGGGAGGAGCCCGCGUUGCGCCAGCACGGUUGAGGGCCCCAAGACGCCCUCGACACCACGCCUCCCCACCCAAGAAGGGGCGUGGACAGCACCAUCGUCACCCCUCUGCCUCGUCACGACCGGCAGUUCGCGCUAGGCAGGGGGUGAGACAGGAGCCGGCAGCGCCGCGUGCCGGAACCGUGGGCAUGCCGGCCCAGCAUCACACGACGACAAGAGGUGACGCGCCCCGCGCGCCCUCCCCUACCGCUAGGCUACUUCCGCAUGGGCUGUUCGCCUCAAGAAGAGCCUUGCCGUUCGGCCUGGACAAUGCCGCGGUGUCACUCGCCAGGGCGAUAUGCCCAAACACCCAGACGUACGUGGAGAGACCAAUGGUCCUCCCAUGCGGCCCUAGAGCGCUGCGACCGACGUCCGAACUGCCGGACUUCUCCCAAGUAUGAGGCCUCUGCCGCUUAGGCCCCGGGCGGUACACGAUUACCUCCCUCAGACAGCGUUUGCUGGAGGAAGGACGUGGAUGUUUCUACGCAGCCGAGCCGGACUCUGACUCGGAAUCCGACAGCCACGACCCUACUAGGGAGUGCUUCCAUAUCGACGGUGCGGUGGAAACCACCGACGAGACACAAGACGCCGCCGCAGGCAGGCGAGCCCCUGCAGCGAGGGAAGACCCCAGGACGCCUGGGAAUGAUGGUCAAGUCAACCCCCCACCGCAAGAAGACAGAGCCGCACAAAUUGCGCAACUACGAGAGCUCAAGGCAAAACUUGACGAGGAUCGUGAGUGUCUUGUCUUGCUCGAGCAGAUCCUCGAGCAGGACAUGCCUUACCCGCCUGGUGGAAGUGUCCGCAGGUGAGCUCGAGAGGUGCACCGACAGAUCAUUAGAGACGCAGAGCCAGAGCAGCCCAUCAGCCGUUUCCCUCGAGCAGGCCAGAACGUCGUGGCAGCGACAAUGCUGCUGCGAAACAUGCCGGAGCCGUCAAACUCCCAAGCUCGACACAUUCGAGACGAGGUGCAGACGCUACUCCAGGUGGCGGCAGUUCAACAGGCCGAAAGCUCGGCUUCUCGACGUCGAGGAGCAGCCACUGAAAAGUGCGAUGAGCCACCCCAAAACGAAAAGGAGGUGUUAGUCCAUCAGCAGCCACCCCCUCGAGGAAGAAAGACCACGCUCGUUCUCCACGUCGACAAUCAGUGUCGACACAACGCACGACGCGACAUUGAAGAGAAUCGACGCCGUCGGCAUUGGGACGCGGAAGAGCGCAGGUAUAGCGCGCAUCGCGGUGGGAGGUACGACAGAGAUGAGGACCGGAUGGCCGCCGAGCCACCAGGGCCACGGGUGUUCAGCAGGGCAAUCCGCAGCACGCCACUGCCCAGUCCGUUCCGACCCCCGACCAGCAUCGCGAAGUACAACGGUGAAACCAAACCAGAGUUGUGGCUAGCCGAUUUCAGGCUGGCCUGUCAGCUGGGAGGCGCUCGAGGGGAUGAUCGAGCCAUCAUCAGACAGCUACGGCUUUUUCUCUCCGACACCGCCCGUCGGUGGCUUGAGGAACUUCCAGCUGAUCAGUUCCACGACUGGGUCGAUUUGGUUAGAGUCUUCGAGGGUUAUUUCAAAGGGACCUACAUACGGCCUGGGAACUUGUGGCACCUCAGCAAAUGCAAGCAGAAGUCAGGAGAAACUCUUUGAGAGUACGCUCGAUGCUUCUCGAAACAGCGCACCGAGCUACCGCAUAUCCCCGACCACGACGUCAUCCUGGCCUUUGUCUCUGGUACCACCAGUCGAGACUUGGUGCGGGAAUUGGGCCGGAAUCGCCCUCAGACCGUCGAUGAGCUGAUGGAUGUAGUGGCAAACUACGCCGCAGGGGAGGAAGCGGUCGGCGCCUUCUUCAGCUGUGAAGAAAGGAAAGGCAAGCAGCCCACCGAUGAAGAUCAGACCCCCAGUCGAGGGCCCAAGAAGAACAACAAGAAGCAGAAAGCGCGGCAGUUCAAGCGGGAAGAUUUCGACGACGAUCUCGUCGCCACCAUGGAACGCAAGAGGCCUGGAGGCCCCCCGGAUGGAGGCAUCUUCGAUAAGAUGCUAGAGGAGCCAUGCCCUUACCAUAAGGGAGGAGCCAACCACAAGCUCAAGGACUGUCCUAUGCUGAAAAAGCAUUUCGACAGUCUGGGGUUAAAAAGGACGCACGCGACGACCCAAAAAAGGAGAAGGGUGGCAACAAGGAGGACAACAAAGACGACGACGGCUUCCCAGCCGUCCACGACUGCUACAUGAUCUAUGGUGGGCCCUCGACACAGUUGACCACAAGGCAGCGCAAGAGGGAAUGCCGAGAGGUCUUCGCAGCAAGAAUGGCGAUGCCCCAGUACCUCAGCUGGUCGAGCACCCCCAUCACCUUCAAUCGAGAGGACCACCCAGACAAGGUAGUCGCCCCAGGCGUCUACCCGCUUGUUGUCGACCCCAUCAUCGUCAGCACCUGACUUUCAAAGGUGCUGAUGGACGGCUGCAGCAGCCUCAACAUCAUCUACCUCGAGACCCUCGACCUCCUCGGCAUCAACAGGGGGUGGCUCCAACCAAGCGCCGGUGGUUUCCAUGGCAUCGUGCUAGGGAAGAAGGCGCUGCCGGUGGGUCGAAUCGACCUACCGGUCUGCUUUGGCACGGCGGCCAACUUCAGAAAGGAGACCCUCACCUUUGAGGUGAUUAGGUUCCGGGGCACAUACCACGCCAUCAUCGGCGCCCGGGCUACGCCAAAUUCAUGGCUAUACCCAACUACACCUACUUGAAGCUGAAGAUGCCCGGUCCCAAAGGCGUCAUAACCGUCAGCUCCUCCUUCGAGCAAGCUUACGAAUGCGACAUCGAGUGCGUCGAGUAUGGGGAGGCGGUCGAGAAUUCCACCGAGAUCGUCGCGAAGCUCGAGGCCCUGGCCGCUGAGGCUCCAGAGCCCAAGCGCCACGCUAGCAGCUUCGAGCCAGCAGAAGGAACCAAGAAGAUCCCGCUCGACCCUAACAACUCCAACGGCAAGGUGCUGACGAUCAGCGUCGACCUCGACCCCAAAUAGGAAGCUGUGCUCGUCGACUUUCUCCGUGCAAACGCCGACAUGUUUCCAUGGAGUCCCUCGGACAUGCCAGGCAUACCGAGGGAAGUCACCGAGCACUCCUUGGAAAUUCGAGCCGGUUCCAAGCCAGUGAAGCAACGGUUGCGCCGAUUUGAUGAGGAGAAGCGCAAGAUCAUUGGCGAGGAGAUCCACAAGCUUUUGACGGCUGGAUUCAACAAGGAGGUUCAUCAUCUCGACUGGUUAGCAAACCCUGUACUAGUUAAGAAAAAGAAUGGGAAAAUGAGGAUGUGUGUCGAUUAUACGAGUUUAAAUAAAGCAUGUCCGAAAGUUCCCUUUCCAUUACCACGUAUUGAUCAAAUUGUUGAUUCCACUGCGGGAUGUGAAACCCUUUCUUUCCUUGAUGCAUAUUCUGGUUACCAUCAAAUAAAAAUGAAAGAGUCCGACCAGCUCGCGACGUCUUUCAUCACACCUUUUGGGAUGUAUUGUUAUGUAACCAUGCCGUUUGGGCUUCGAAACGAGGGAGCCACGUAUCAACGCUGCAUGCUCCACGUGUUUGGCAAGCACAUAGGGUCGACAGUCGAGGCCUAUGUCGACGACAUUGUCAUCAAGUCAAAGCGGCGGGGAGACCUGAUCCAGGACCUCGAGAUUGCUUUCAGCUGCUUACGCGCCAACCAGCUCAAACUCAACCCUGAGAAAUGCGUUUUCGGCGUACCUCGAGGCAUGCUCCUUGGAUACAUCAUUUCCCAGCGCAGCAUCGAGGCCAACCCCGAGAAGGUCUCGGCCAUCACAAGAAUGGGGCCGAUCUGAGACAUCAAGAGUGUGCAGAGAGUCACGGGAUGCUUAGCGGCGCUGAGUCAUUUCAUCUCGAGGUUAGGAGAAAAGGCGUUGCCGUUGUAUCGACUCCUGAAGAAAGUCGAGCGUUUCUCUUGGAACCCUAAGGCCGAGGAAGCCCUUAAAAACCUGAAGAAAACACUGACUUCAGCACCGGUCCUGGUCCCACCUCAACCUGCAGAACCACUGCUCCUUUACGUUGCCUCGACGACUUAGGUCAUCAGUGCAGCUGUAGUUGUCGAGAGGCAGGAGGAGGGGCAUAUGUUGCCAGUCCAGAGGCCGGUCUAUUUUGUCAGUGAAGUGCUCUCGGAGACCAAGGCGCGUUACCCCCAAAUCCAGAAGCUAAUCUACGUCGUAAUCCUCGCCCGACGCAAGCUGCAGCACUACUUCCUCAGUCACCAUAUCACGGUGGUCUCGUCCUUCCCCCUGGGCGAGAUAAUCCAAAGUAGGGAGGCCACAGGAAGAAUAGCCAAAUGGUCAGUCGAGCUCAUGAGUGAGACUCUCACUUAUGCGCCCCAUAAGGCUAUCAAGUCACAAGCCCGGGUGGAUUUCGUCACGGAAUGGACAGACUCCCAGCUCCCCCCGACUCAGGUUCAGUCGGAGGUGUGGACGAUGUAUUUCGACGGGUCUCUCAUGAAGACGGGAGCUGGGGCUGGCCUGCUGUUCAUUUCGCCCCUGGGCGUUCAUAUGAGGUAUGUCAUCAGGAUUCACUUUGCCGCAUCCAACAAUGUCGCGGAGUACGAGGCCCUCGUCAACGGUCUCAAGAUCACCAUCGAGCUAGGAGUCCGAGGCGACUCCCAACUCGUCAUCGACCAAGUAAUGAAGACCUCAAGCUGCCACGACCCGAAAAUGGAGGCGUACUGCAAGGAAGUCCAUCGACUCGAGGACAAAUUCCAUGGCCUCGAGCUCGUCCACAUCGCCUGACGCUACAACGAGGCAGCCGACGAACUCGCCAAGAUCGCGUGCACCCUAGGCACGGUACCACCUGACGUGUUCUCGAGAGAUCUUCAUGAGCCGUUCGUCGACUUGGGCUCGGGGGCUGACGUCGAUGCCGCUCCUGCCCAGCAAACCGACACCAUCGACGCACUCCUGAUGGCAGCUGAGGUAAUGGAGGUGGAACAGCGGCCCGGUCGACCGUUCGACUGGCGCACGCCGUUCCUUGACUGCCUAAUCCGCUGCGAGCUGCUAGAAGAUCGAUCCGAGGCCCGCCGUAUCGCUUGACGGGCCAAGUCAUACGUGAUCUAUGGCGAGGACAAUGAGCUAUAUCGACGAAGCCCGACGGGGGUCUUGCAGCGUUGCAUCACCGUGGAAGAAGGCCGGAAACUCCUCGAGGACCUACACUCGGGGGCUUGUGGCCACCAUGCUGCUCCACGGACCCUCGUAGGGAAUGCCUUCCGACAAGGCUUCUACUGGCCAACGGCCGUAGCUGAUGCCAUCGAGCUCGUACACUCAUGCCAUGGGUGCCAGUUCUACGCCAAACAGACGCAUCUGCCCACCCACGCUCUUCAGAUGAUCCCCAUCACAUGGCCGUUUGCGGUGUGGGGGCUUGACUUAGUAGGGCCUCUACAAAAGGCAAAAGGGGGGUACACCCACUUGCUGGUGGCUAUCGACAAGUUCUCCAAAUGGAUCGAGGCUCAACCCAUCACCAACAUCCGCUCCGAAAAAGCCGUCCUUUUCUUCACCGACAUCAUCCACCAAUUUGGGAUUCCCAAUGUCAUCAUCACUGACAACGGCACUUAGUUCACCGGCAAAAUGUUCCUGAACUUCUGCGAUCAGCAUCACAUCUAUGUGAACUGGUCUGCAGUUGCCCACCCUCGAACUAACGGCCAGGUCGAGCGUGCCAACGGCAUGAUUUUACAAGGGCUCAAACCAAGGAUCUACAAUCGCUUGAAGAAGUUCGGCAAGAAGUGGGUCGAGGAGCUCUCCUCGGUCCUAUGGAGCCUAAGGACUACGCCAAGCAGAGCAACAAAGUACACCCCAUUCUUCAGGGUCUACGGCUCUGAGGCUGUGCUCCCGACAGACCUUGGGUACGGGUCCCCUCGACUCAAAGCAUACAACGAGCAAUCAAAUAAAGAGACUCGAGAAAACGCGGUCGACCAACUCGAGGAAGCUCGAGACAUGGCUCUCAUCAACUCUGCCAGAUACCAGCAGAAACUUCGAUGCUACCAUGACAAGCACGUGCGCAAGAGGGACUUGAACGUAGGCGACCUCGUUCUACGACGGCGACAAAGCAAUCAAGGACGCCACAAGCUGACUCCACCUUGGGAGGGCCCAUACGUGGUGGCUGAGGUCUUGAAGCUGGGGACAUACAAGCUCGCGGAUGAAAAGGGGGCGAUCUUCACCAACGCGUGGAACAUCGAACAGCUACGUCGAUUCUACCCCUAGAAUUUCAAAGCUUUAUGUUCCUGCGUACAUUCUGUACCAAGGCCUUGUAAAUCAAUGCAUGAAUAAAUAAAGUCUUUCCCUCGAGCGACUUACCUUUUCACAAGUCUCAACGUUAGAAGGGAGUAUCGACUAUGACCCAUCAUAGUCGAUACCCCCUCGGGGGCUAGCAAGGGGGGCGACCCCCCCACCCAAGUGUCGAAAAAAUCAAGUAAUCCUUUCGUUCCUAUCGGUAAUCUCGUACGGUUGAGUAGUAAAGGUACCUCGAGCCCCUUAAGGGCCGAGAAACAACGAGCCGGAGAACUCCUACGCCCCCGGGCUACGGAAACUCUACUCGCCUCCUCACCCUUGAGGCAAUCGAGACCGCCUUAAACAAAAGACCAAACGAGAAAAAAAAACAUAGGUGCAAAGGGAAAUAAAGGGGCCUCGAGAGGAAAGAUAGAUAAACGUUUAACAACCACUUAAAAGAUAUUACUUAAGUACAAGUUAACAUAGUACUAUACGGAGGGCCCAAGCACCCAAAGCAGGCUCGCAGGCCUUAGUCCGCGUCACGGUCCUCACCACCCUCACCUGCGCCUGAGCUAGUCUCAGGGGGAAGUACCUCGGGCUCGAACAGCUUAGCCAACCUUUCCCCAGGAACCUCUGCGUCGUCGAUCAAGGCGUGGAGCCUUUCUUCGUUCUCCACGUCGGUCUUGAAGAUGUCGGUGACGAAGCCGUGAGACACCACCUCCAUGUCGUAGGAGAGGCCUGAGCAGACAACCGCCAUUGCCCGCUUCACCCCGAUAUGGAGGGCAUCCCGCACCCGAUCCCUCAGCGUCGCACCUAAGUAGCACAGCUGGUCGACCAGUGUGUCGCCUCGGGCUUCCUCCUUCGACUCGUCCAUGGGCUCGACCUCCCAAGAGGUUGAGAGAUCGCUUAUCGCCGUCCGCACUCGACGGUUCAAAGCAACAUCUCCCUCAAGCUGGGCCUUGGCGCUGCGAGCCUCGACUUGGGCGGCCAAGAGCUCGUCCUUAAGCCCUGAGAACGCCAACGCAAAAACUUUAGAAAAAACCAAGCACACCUCGAAAAGAAAAUCCGACAAUAGAAACAUACCGCGGAUGCUCUCCUCCAGAGCAGUAUUUUCGCCAACCAAAUUGUUAUUGGCCCUCUCGACCGACCCAUCACUGAUGGUAAUGGGAUCCCCCUCGACCCCCGAUCGGGGAGGCUCGGGGGCUCCCUCUUGCCUUUGGGUCUGGGGCGCCUCGGCCUGUUUCGGCGACGACGGGGCCGACUCAAGACAGGGUGGGGCACUCUCAGCGUCGGUCGGAGGCCGAGGGUCGGAGGAGCCUGAAAAACAAAAAACAAAGGCCAGUCACUAUGAUGACCAACAUAAGAACAACACAAAGUCCCAUGAAUAAGCUACAGACCUGGCUCCUUGGAGGCUGCUCCCACCUUGAGCCUCUUCGCCAUCGAAGGCUGGGCUUGCUCAAGUGUUCGCUUCAACCUGAGGAAAGAGGAACGGGCAUAAAGGAUACCGUAAUAUGAGGAAACAUGAAGAAUCAGGAGAAUAGGAAUCACAGCAUCGAAGAACUUACCCCACCGGGAGAACGGCUCGCCCGCCGGAACCUCGACCAGUAGGCCUCGAGCCACCCCGCGUCAAGGCCUCAGGCCCCUCGAGGGCAGGCGCUGGCCUUGGCCUAGUGACUCCUGCCACGCGGGCACCGGGACUGGCGCUCCGGCGGCCGGUAUCUCCCUUCUCGGAGGCCACGGCACGACCGCGGGUCAGUGGCCCCAUCGCCUAUGGCUUAGCUUGCCCACCCGUCUUCGGUGCAGGGGGAGGCUGGGGGCGCGGGGCGGCCCGACUGGUCGCGGGCGCAGGAGGGGUGUCGGCGCGGGGGCAGUGAGAUCCACCUGGCCCCUCCUUUGGCGCUCCCGUCCGCAGGGCGUCGACGUCGCCUCGAGGUAGACCUUCGAGGAUCCGGUCAAGACGAGACGCCAUCCCCUCGGAAUCGUCGCUGUCGUCGUCACCGUCCCCACCAUCAUCCUCGCUAGGGGAAUCUUCUUCAGGCUCGCCCCUCUGCCUGGAUUUAGCUCGACGCGCCUCUAGCGCUUGGCAGUCGAGAUUCUUCUUCUUUUUCCCUUUCUUUUCGGAGUCCUUGGCGGACUUUAGUUUCUCGGCGGACUGGCGCCGUUUGUCACGGUCGACCUCGUCCUCCUUUACAGGGGGCCUCGAAGACCGGACAUCGAUGCGUCCCUGCCAGAACAAAAGUAGGCUUAAAAGGAUCGAGGGAAAUCUAGAAUCGGAGCUAUGUGCGAGAGAAGAGCAUACCAGAUCGAUCGAGCCCUUGUCGGGCCUCAUGGGGAAGCCAUUGACAUGCUCCGACUUAAAGUCGCCAGCAAUGGCCGCCCUAACCCGGGCAGCGGUUUCGUUGUCCGCCAGAGCCUCGUUAGACAUCCGGCAUGCCUCGAGAUCCCAGAACAAAACGCCCGGCCCCAUCUCAUCCAUCCUCUGCGGCCGAGACAUCAGUGGGAGGACCCUCCGAGAGCGGCAGACAGGCAAUCCAGGCGCAGCUUCUUCAGAGCGUCGAGGAGGGGGUCGAGCCGCGACUGGUGUUCUCGGACGACGCCGUAUGUCCAGUUGUCCGGGCGCUCUGUAAUCAGACGGCCUGUGUAAGCGCGGAGAAGACCAUCGUCGUUCCGUAGGUAGAACCACUGGGAGUCCCAUCCGGCGUGGUUCGAUGAUAACCCCACCGGGAUGUACUCGCGUGGCCUCUCCGUCUUCUUCAUCUUCAGCACCAGGUGGAGGCAACCGGCCCGCACAUGCUUCCUCACGCCGGUGGUCCCGGUGGGGGCGUUGAAGAGCUCGCCCCUGUAGAGGUGGAGCCACAGCUCCCAGUGGGGCAUCAUCCCCAAGUAGCCCUCACACACCACGGCGAAGACCGCCGCGACGGUGAUGGCGUUUGGGGAGAAGUGCUGGAGCUCCACCCUGUAAUGAAGGUAGAGCGCCCGCAUGAAGCGGCUCCGAGGAGCACCCAAGCCAUGGCGGUGGAACUUGGCGAACGACACCACGUAGCCCUUGGGCGGAUUGGGCUCUCGGUGGUCCGCUGGUGGCGCGAUCCACUCCGGCGACGACAGCGAGGUGCGGUGGCGCAGGAGUCCCUCCCUCUCAAGCUCUAGCAACCGGCGCUCCAUCAUCGACGACGGGCGCCAGUCGUCGGUGGCGACGAGUCUCACAGGCAUCUCGAACGGAAGGAGGGUGGUUUCGCUACUGCUCGAGGGGGUGCGCGCGCGUGAGAUGGCAUGGAAGAUGGGACGGUAAGAAGGCUAAGGCAAGGAUGGCGACGGGAGGCAGAAGGGAGAACGGCGGCGAUGCCACAGGAUACUUAUAGGCAGAGACCCGCCAACGGAUAGAUCCGAUAAAUGAGGUAACUCCCCCCAUAAAUGUGCCGCCUAACGGUCCUUUUCCCACUCACAGACGGGACGCUCCAAAUUCUGCGCCAACACGUUGCCGCAACGGCUCCCGCCUGAAAAGACACGCCCAACGGGCAGAAAGGCGAACCGCCAUGGCCUCUUCCUUCCCUUGUAAGCCAAGGGACGUACCACGAAAGCCUUGAGAGGUCGCAGGCUGACCCACCGGAAGGGUUCGACAGCCGAUCUCGAGCACCAGAGUCAGGGAUGCCCAGCGAGCGGUCGAAAAUCGAGGCCCGCCUCGAGAACUCGCUGGGGAUGUCCAAGGUAGGGUCGAGACAGUCGAGAGGAAUCCCCCGACGGGAGGCACCGAGCCACUGGACUCUAUCGAACGAGACCAGCAUCCCCGACCACGUCGACCCCGCUUUAUGAGAACGCCUCCAGGCUACAACUGACCCCCUCGAAAGGGGCACAGGUUCUCACUUGGACCAACCCAUUAGGAUCUCAAUCCGGGGUGAAUGACGCUCGCUCUAUCGAGAGUACGUCGAAACCCCCUACAAAAAACGAGCCAACCAGAACCUUCCACCACCGGUGUCGACAGCGUUUCUGAGAAAUUAGGCAAUAUAACCCUCGAAGGAGUCAAAAACUCCUCCAAGGGCUCGGGGGCUACCCCCACAGGGUCGCUCGCGCGCCAACACGGAAACACGACCAAGGAAUACAGCCUCCAUUCGAGCGCCAGCGCUCAAAUGGAGACUCGGGGGCUACUGUCGAGGGUAUCAGUAAGGGGUACCCUAACUGAUGCACAUAACGAGAUUAUCUAUACACAGAUCGAGGCCCUCAACUCGACGUUCUAAUCAGCCAUACGGUCAUCGACGGCCACAGCCUCGAAGACGGAAAAAGCGUCGAGCGAACCGCUCAGGGGUCGAACAUCAACUACCGUCGAAUACGGAAAUGGGCUCGACCGAACCAGGAGGCGUCGAGCGCAAGGACACCGCCCGCCGCCUGACGCGCGCACGAGAACCCGGGCAUUUAAUGCGCCUGUCGCUUUCCCACCUAACACGCUGGUCACGGGAAGCGUGAUGGGGAACAGGCACCCGUCCCAUCAUUCUUUUUGCAACCUUCCCCACCAAAUGACCCAGAGCGUGUCAGGACGCGGGAAGCCGGGAUGGAGUGUCUAGUCAGGACCCCCUCGAGACGCCAAAAGUCAAUGCUCUGGAUAGUAAAGCGUUACAUGGCGUCCAACCCUCGAUUGGACGUGUUCCCUUCCUGGGGAAGGGUUGGGCGUCGACUCACGGCACUGCCACCAAUCUGACGUAUCAGCCGCCAUGACGUACAAGCGUGCAAUGGACAAACCGGCCCAAGACGGCGUACAGAGCGGGAUAUGAGGGCACACGUAAUCAUCAUCGAGCUAACAUGACAGGAUGGCUCGAGACCACGCCGGUACGGAGGCCUCGAGUAGGUCAACGCGCCAUGCCUCUAUCGACCCCUACUCUGUCACCUAUACAUGUACCCUAGGUCUCUCCUUGGAGCUAUAAAAGGGGAGACCUGGGAAUGAACACACAACACGCAAGACAACACUCAUACGCAGUAGAACUUCCAUACUCCACCUCAUUCCAUACCACACUUGUAUUCACCCCUGUACAAGCACUUAGGUGCAAGAUAAUACAAACUCCCCUCCUCCGCUGGACGUAGGGCCUUCUCUUGCCCGAACCAGGAUAAAUCUUUGUGUCUUCUUGCAUCACCAUCUGGGAAAGGGAAGCACGCAUACAAAUUAACUCGUUGGUGUGACCCCCCGUGGGGAAAACACCGACACUCCGAAAUUAUCUCCCAAUAAUGACACCCUUUUCACAAUUAUUUCUUUCUGACAGCAAUUAAUUACCAAAUCCAAACAACCUUAACCCGGAUCUUCAGCAUGCACCUCGAAUUUCUCAACCUCCUGAACCAAACCUCCCAAACAUCCGCUCAACGACAACUGUUCCGUUAUGGACUAUCGAUGAGCUGACCAGGAGAUCCUGCACAGUAAAAUAUCUCCUAAAAUCAUGACCGCUUGCUGUCAAAUCACCUGCACAAUCCCUUGAUUAUCAUGCGAAUAGUUACCGUAUCCACCUGAACACCCUUGAAUUUCACGAAUACGACAAAGAGAUAAGUCAGAAAUGCCCCUAAUCACUUUAUCCUAUAAAUACUUCCUUCCUUGGCACUCUUUCUCUACCUUGCCAUCCUUCAUCCCCCAAACUCAUCUCUCUGGCGGCGGCAUUGUCGAAGAGCUCAAGAACCCCAAUCUCCCCCAACGGUUUCUCAAGUCUUCGAUCUUCUUCUUCCCCGGGAGGAAAUGGCCGUCAACUUCGUCGUCCCUGAGGUUAAUCUAUUCCCAUCUUUCCUUCCUUUACCGCACCUCUUUACCUUUUGCAAGUCUACUUACUUAGCAUUUUUCCUUCUUUCUCUCUCUUUGUUAUUUCAAUCUUCAAACUUUAGGAACCGAGCGAGAAAAUUGUUAUUCCUACCGAGCAACCUCACCUUCAAUGCCUCAGUCCACUGGGUAAUCCGGAUCCUACCGAUCUGAUUUCCGAUAACUUUUUGUUAGAUCUGUGGAAAGAUAUCUUCUGAUCCUGGCCAAGUUCCACCAAAGGAUGGAAGGAUUGGUUUUUGAGGGUCGGCAAUACAAAUGAUGUAUACUGGGAUGAACGCAAACUAGACCAGUGCAUUAGGCUAUCUAUUGCCGAUAUGGAAAGGAAUGAAUCACUACUGAUAGCUGCUUCAUACUUUUGGUCGGAUACUUUUAAUGCUUUCCUUUUCGGUCACGGCCCAGCUUCCCCCACUCUCGUCGAUGUCCUCAUGCUCACUGGUUUAGACAUCGCGACUGUUGAUGAUGGCCAAUUGUUCAACCGCAAGGCCGAACGCAAAGUAGAUACCCGCAACAUCGGCGGCUGGUCAGGGUAUAUCCAGAAGUACCAAAGAAUGGGGCCGGUUGGUCACAGAGAACAUGCCAGUUUCCUGAACAUGUGGCUAGACAAAUUCAUCUUCUGCGGCCGAUCGGUAGGACCAACCUCCGUCAACUUAUCGAUAGCAGAAAGGUUAGCCGAUGGUGGCCGAUUCCCUCUUGGCCGAUAUCUGUUAGGCUCCGUCUACCAUCUCCAUCCAGUGGCCCAGAAACUCUUGUUAGGUGAACCCAUCGGCAAUCUAGGAGGCCCUUGGUGGUUCAUCAACAUGUGGCUCAAUGUUCAUAUGCACAAACGCCUUCAGUUUGAUUUCUUCGCACAGCAAUUCCCCAAAGACAUCGCCAAAGAUUAUGAACUGGCCGAUGAUGAAUCGGCAACUCGCUCACCCCUCAAUUAUGGUGAGGCUGCUAUAGUUCUCCCUGGCACCGGCUGGAAUGAAAACCAGGUCGGCCGAUUCUUCCAAACUUUGUAUGAUGGCCUCUCCAAAGAUCAGCGAGCAUGGAUGCCUUAUGAAGAUCCAGAAACCAGAUUCCCGCUCACCUUUCACCCCUUUGACGAUGCACUCAACAAGGAUAAUGAUUUGAUGAUGGCAAUCAUCACUCCGAGAGCAAUUCCAGUGAAUAGUUUCAGCAGCAGGAAGAACACCAACCUAUUGGCGGUUCUUAAUGACAUAUUUACCCCGCCAACAUAGUCCAUGCAAAGGAAGAAAAGCAUGUAUUUUACUCACAUAUACUUAUUAAAUGCUUACCAAGUUCCACAUGUAGUGCAAGUUGUGUUUUGCAGAUCAUAUACAGGCAUACAGGUGGAAAGCAAAUAAAAAGGUGCAAUCCGACACGUCAAAAAAUGUGCAAAUAAACAAGUACCCAAAAGCCCAAUAUAGAAGUGCAUCAAUUUGCAGGUGGAUCUGGACUCAGGGGCCCGAGAGGAAGGCAACGAGCUUCGGGCCGGGGCCAGCGGGGCCCACCAGGUGGCGGCCGCCCCCUAGGGUCGGCCGACCCUGGCCCAGCCCAUCUCGGCACCGCCUUUCGCAGAGGCGGUGCUGAGCCUAUCCUCCCGCAGUUCCCGCGUGCAAAUUGCAGUUUACACCCUGGGGAACUGACCUUCCCCACCUAUUUAAGGAGGGGGAGAGGGAGGCUCCAUGCAUCUCAUCACAUUCACAAUCAACACUCCACCUUCAAGGCAUUUGGGCACUACCUCUUCUUAGUUUUUCCCUUUAAGCUUUUAGAGAGAGAGUUGGGUGAGCUAUCAAGGAGGGCUUGGCUCCUUGGAGAGAAACUUGGGUAUGAAUAAAGAAUAUCUUUACUCCAAGUCCAUGCCUUAUCAUGUCCGAUAUAGUUCUUCAUAUGAACUAGAGUAUAGUUCUUAUGCUAUGGUAUAUGACAUAGAUCAUAGGCCCUGUUUUAUGAUGCUAGCAUAUGAACUAGAAUAUAGUUCUAGUGAAAAUGAUAUGACAUACAUUUUAGUAUAUAGUUCUUAUAGUAUAAUGCUACCCUCGGGCUAGUAGUGUAUUAUAUGAACUAGUGCUAAGUGUAUGUUGUAUUAUUCUCACCUAGGACUUUAGUCUAAUUGCUUCAUGUUAAUUAAUUGCCUAGAAAUAGCUUUGUGUGAAGAUGGGGGUUUAUCAUGCUCUUUUGAGUUGGCUCGGGCUUCUUACUUGUCGAUCGGUAGGGUCGGCGACCCGGGUGAGUCCGAGUAGGUUCUUUGCAUGUAAGCAUGGUGCUUGGGUGUAAAGGCCGGGUAAAUGCAUUGUCCUAGUCCACGGUUGAGGGGAUUGCGGCAGGUGGUGACAGCCCUGUCUGUCCUUGGCAUUCCCCUACGUUCGCCUAGGGUGUAGGAGUCUAAAUAGUUGCAGAGGUUGCUGGCAGACCAGUACUCGCGUAACCUCCCAAACCAUCUAAACACAGGACUAGAUCUAAGUAGUAUAAUUACAUGAUUAACUUGUUCUAUUACAUGAUCUGUAUCUAGGACCACACCUGCUCCAAUAGGUUGUUUGUUUAUUCUUUGAUUCAAUUCAUUCUUUUAGUCUCUUUUUAUUCCUUAGCCCAUAUGCCAUGCCUAGAUUGUGAUGGAUCACUAUUCUACAUAUAAAUGUUUAUCACCUGCUGUGACCUUUGAUUCCAAUAUUGCUAUCAUAAUUACUUUGAUCUAUGCUUAUCUUAGAAUCCUUAACAUAUUAAGCCUUCCUUAGAGCGAACCUAUAAAUACGACACUCGGUAAAUCCCCGGGUUGAAAUGCUACACGAUAAUUCCCGUCUGCUUGCGGUACUUAAACUCCAAACCUAAGGAACUAUCACCCCGGUAUAUACUUAACACUGUUGCUAGACAUGCGCCGAGCUAGUGACUUGUUAAGGAAUACCAUCAUGGCAAUCCUAGUGCCACUACCAUGAUUAAGAACUGGAACCCUACCCUAACGGUAAUAAGGCGCCGUUAUCGGGAACGUAGAUCUAGCUUCCUAUUCAAGGUGAUGAUGCUACGGAUCUGCCAAUAUAACACUGCCAAUGUCAUUAUCAUGAGUAGAGCAGAACCCUAUUCUAGGUAGCGACGCUAAGAAACGCUAACAGGCAUUUCUGGCACCGUUGCUUAGGAUAGAAUUAUACUCUAAUCUUGGUGAUUGCAUUAGUAAGUGUUAUCACGACAUUUCUGACAUCGUUGCUGAGGACGGAUUAAACCCUAUUCUUAGUGAUGACGUUAAGAAAUGCCAACAAGCAUUUCUGGCGCCGUUGCCGGGGAAGGCUAAUAUGAAAAUGAUUCUAGAUAAAUAUAAUCAAGUAAUCUGAUGUGCGUAAUGAGUCAAUUGUUAUGCAGGCUAACUCUGCCUGUUUUCUCCCUGUUGUGGAUGAAACAGGAGGAAUAGUGUAUGCCUGGUUUCUCUUUGUCAGAAAACUACAUCUCCGAUCUCGAGGCACUCCUAAGGACUAGACGGUCUCGAACCGUUUCGUCUUCUGCUACUCCACCGACAAGUGAACCAGCCGGUACCGCACCAACCCCGAACGAACUCAUGGCCGCCGAGAAGACACUCCGCGAGUUCUCCGUGCCCGCUGUCACCAACGUGGCCACUGGCCCCGAUGUUGACACAGCCGGCAAGAACUUCGAGCUACGCACCGGCCUGAUCACCAUGGUGCAGGCGAGCCCAUUCUGUGGCUUGCCAAGCGAGGAUGCGAAUGCACACCUUCAACACUUCUUGGAGAUAUGUGACACGAUUGUCAUCAAGGACAUCACUCCUGAUGUCAUUCGGCUCCGCCUCUUUCCUUUCUCCCUCGUGGGGAAGGCGAAGAGGUGGUUCUAUCAAGAUAAGGAAGCUGUCACCACGUGGGCAAAAUGCUCCGUGGCAUUCCUCGCCAAGUUCUUCCCCAUAAGCAAAACCAAUGCUUUGAGAGGAAGGAUUGCCAGUUUUCAACAAAAUACCAGCGAAACAAUCCCUGAAGCAUGGGAGCGGCUACAAGAGUACAUCCUAAGCUACCCCCAUCACGGCAUGGAGAACUGGAUGGUGCUCCAGAACUUCUACAAUUGGCUCACACCCAUGUCGAAGGGACACCUAGACGCCGCCGCUGGAGGCGCGUUCCUAUCACUUACCACCGCCAGGGCCAAGGCCCUGAUCGAGAAGAUGGUAGAACACCAGAGCUUGGGGGAGGACAGAACUCAAUGACCAGCUGCCAAAACACAAAAAGGCAUGCAUACCGUGAAGGAGACGGAUAUGCUUGCCACAAAAAUAGAUUUAUUGAUGAAGCAACUCACCGAGAGGAACCAAGAGAACCCCUCGAACUCGGUGAAGGCCAUAGACUCGCACAUGACGUGCGAGGUUUGUGGAGAAGUUGGCCAUUUGGGGAAUGAUUGCCCCGAAACCCGUGAAGACGCUGCCUACAUCAACAACGGGUUCCGCCAACAAGGAGGCGCCAACCAAGGUAAUGGUUGGAAUAAUCAGUCACGCUCUUCAUUCCAAGGUAAGUUGUUAUCCAAUGAUAAGGUUUAGAAAACAUAAAUACAAAAAUAGAAAACCUUGCCUCUUCCGUACAAAACCAACUGAGCUUUAAUAAAAUGAUAGAAACACAACUAGCUCAGAUCGCCGCUGCAAUUCCUACUGACAAUGUGGGUAGACUCCCGGGGCAACCUGAGAACUCUCCCACUAACCAUGUAGGGUGAAAUUCAAACGACGGAAGAGAGUCCUUCUCAAAAAGGACUAUAAACAUUUUUUUGAGCCUCCGCCGAAGGUAAUCGGUAGUUAUCUUAAAAAAAAUAUACAUAAAAUAAAUUUGAAAAAUAUUCAAAAAUUCAUUUUCAGCUAGGAAAUAAAAUAAAAUAAUAGAAAAAUAUUUUUUCUAAAUUUUUUGAAAAUAAAAAUUUUACAAAUAAAUGUUGGAAAUUGCAAAAGUCAUUUUUUCAGCUAGAAGUGCAUCAAUAUGCCAACGGAAAACUUCAAAAACUAGCCGUUGGAAGAUGGAGACAAAAGCUGGGGAGCAGUGGGGCCCACCAGGGGGCGGCCGCCCCUAGGAUCGGCCGACCCCCCCCCCAACGGCUCUGGCCAACGGCCAGCUGGGGGAGGCUCCUAGCCGUUGCCCUCACCGCGAAUCCACCUGCAUUUUCAAACUAUAAAUACCAGGGGUUCGGGUGUGGCCCUCUCCACCCAUUCUCACUUCACUUCAUCACUUCCAUCUUCACUCUCCAAGCGACACAUUCACAUCUUUGCUAUUUCCAACCAACCACCAGCAGAAACCUCACAAAAAAUCACCUAUCCAAGCUAGCUAUCCACUGGUGCAAGCAUUGCACCAUGAAAAGGUUCGGCAAAACAGUUUCGGGGGCGUUUAAAAGAGUCACGAGGUCAUCCUCGAAGCGCCCCUAUCGGAGCACUUCCUCAUACUACACCGAUCCCCGAUGGAGUCCUUCCGCUGAGGAAGAAUCCCCGGAGAUCGAGGAGGUAGAGGAAGAGGUAGAGGAAUAAGAAGAGGAACAAGAGGAGGAACAACAUGAAGAAGGAGGAGCCCACCAAUUCGACUUGGUGGGUGAUCGAGAACAUCAAGCCUACAACAUGCUCAAGGACCGGAUCUUCCUCCAUACGCCGGUCUACGACGACUCGCUCCUCUCCGACAUCAGUAUGGACUCUGAAUUCCUCUCCAUAUGGAAAGCCGCCGGGUGGGACAACAUUCACCCCAUAACUGAGUAUGGAUCCUAUACCCUUACCAUUCAAUUCCUAUGCACUUUAAGAGAAACAUAUGAAGGUAUUUCUGUUCGUAUAUUUGGAAAUGAAUAUGCUAUCUUUUGGAAAGACUUAAGCAAAUACCUUGGUUUUCAUCAAAGAUGCUCCCUUGAUUUAGUGCAUGCCACAAAAGGGUUUAAUAAGGAUAAGUUUUGGGAAGAAAUCACAGGGCAAGUUCACACUGGAAAAUACUAUCCUAGAAAUGCCCACAUCCAACACCCCACUCUAAGGUUUUUACACCUUUGGCUAUCCAUAACAAUGUUUCCUAGCCAGGAUACCCGCGUUGUGCGAGUAAAUGAAAUGAGGUUACUUUACGCGGCUAGAAUGAAAAUAAAAGUUGCGCAUGUGCAAGAAAUUGUAAGGCAUUAGUUAGAUAUAAUCAAGACAACCACCCCUAUCUCUUUGACUUCACUCAUAACACGUGUGGCCACGGCCAUUGGUGCGUUGGAAGGGCAAGAUCUUGAUUAUAUUCAAAUUCCACGCACCAUGAUUAAUGAAACCUAUCUUAUCCAUGGUCACCAUUUGAAAGAGAUAACGCGGGUGGUCUUGUGUUUUAUUUCUCAGGGUAUACAAACGUAAUCUAGUUACCUAACCCGGAUCUACGCUUGUAUAACUCUGGGAGACUAACCUUUGAUCUGUAGACAGCUGAAACUACACGAAGGCGUAGUGUUUCUGGCAGGGACAUUAGCAGAUCUAGCUCCCAGCCAACACCCUCCUAUACAUAGCCGAUCUACCAGUCGGGGUGGGACACACCCAUAUCGACACAAGGUGUUGAGGGGUGGGCUGAGGCGGAUUCCAGCGCUUGGGAACAACAAUCGCGCUGGAGGGCUGAAUCACCAGAAGAAUAUCCUUCGGCCUCCACAGUAGCCGAACCGACUUGGAGCGCCUCCAAGCUCAGCUUGGGGGACUGGUGGUGCGCACGGAUGAGAUCCAGGAUUGCUCCAACAACACAUCCAAACCACCGAUGCGCACCACCAGCAGGCCGUGGAGUGGCACCAGCAAGGGUUGCUAUGGCAACAACAACAACAGGCCUGGCACCAGCAGUAGCAAGAAGAAAUGCAAGCUCGCCAAGAUCAGCUGCUGAAACAGUCCCAAGACUUCUGGCGGUACAUGGGGUACAACCCCGAUCAGUAGGCCAGAAGCUAGCUUGGGGGAGGACCCCCAAUCCCGAGGUUAUCUGCAUUGCAUAUUUAUUUUCAUGCAUCCUUAAUUUUAAAUUAGCAUGUUUACUUUAUGAAAUUUCCAUUAGUUAAAUUCAUGUUUUAAUUAUUACAUAUAAAAAAAUGAAAAAUGCUAAAAGACAAAAAUAUAAUUCCACUCUUAUAUGUGAUGUAAGAUAUAUGCUUCUUCCUUGUUGAAAUAAUGAAUAGUUACUCUAUCGUAAUUUCUUUCCAGUAUCUAGUUUCAACCUUGAAUUCUCCAAAUUAAUAAAAUGAUUAAAUGCGUGGGUUGCAAAAUGCUCUAUCUAAAGUCUGAAGUAAUUAAUGGAUAUAUUUGUGAUGAUCUGAGCUGCUAGUAUCCUGUUCUAAACAACGCUAGAGUUCUGGAGCUUUUACAAAAAUAAAUAAUCACAUUGAGUUAGAUUAAGCUUUGUUGACCCUUUGAGAGGUUGUCAUACCAUUGAAAACAAAAAUAUUUCAUUAUGUUAUCAUCUCAAAAGUUUGUUAAAAGGCAUAUGGCUAUGAAAAAGAAAAUAAAGCAUUCGAGGAAAUAAAAAGGGACAUGUGUCCGAAACCUCAAAAAGAAAUUUCACGAGGAAAUAAAAAGGGACAUGUGUCCGGAACCUCGAAAAAAAUAAAAAUAAAAAAAAUGGGCAAGUGCCCAACAGUAGAAUUAGCCACAUAGCCAUGUGACUCUAAUAGACAAAAAGAGAAUGAUGGAAAAGAAAAGUUUUCUAAAAUUCAAUGGUAUGAUUAACUUUCUCUUUGGAUCCAUUGUUUCAUUCGACAAAUAAAUGUGCUAAGUUUUGAAAAUUAAACAAACUCCGAAACAAAAAGUGAAGUAAAGAACUGGGGACAUAGCGCUCGAUCUCAUCAAAUCCAUCCUGCAAAUGCUUAAGGACCCAAGGUAUGAGCAAUAGGCCCCAUGACAUAUCUAUUCAAAAUUCAAAGGAGAAUUCUUGUUUGAAGGUAUGUACUGGAUAGAAGUGAAAAUAUUGUAGCAACUCCUGAUCAACAACCAAGAUCUUAGCUUCUUGCUCGAGGACGAGCAAGGGGUAAGCUUGGGGGAGUUUGUUGGCAGUUCUUAAUGACAUAUUUACCCCGCCAACAUAGUCCAUGCAAAGGAAGAAAAGCAUGUAUUUUACUCACAUAUACUUAUUAAAUGCUUACCAAGUUCCACAUGUAGUGCAAGUUGUGUUUUGCAGAUCAUAUACAAGCAUACAGGUGGAAAGCAAAUAAAAUGGCGCAAUCCAACACGUCAAAAAAAUGCAAAUAAACAAGUACCCAAAAGCCCAAUAUAGAAGUGCAUCAAUUUGUAGGUGGAUGUGGACUCAGGGGCCCGAGAGGAAGGCAAUGGGCUUCAGGCCGGGGCCAGCGGGGCCCACCAGGGGGCGGCCGCCCCCUAGGGUCGGCCAACCCUGGCCCAGCCCAUCUCGGCACCGCCUUUCGCAGAGGCGGUGCUGAGCCUAUCCUCCCAUAGUCCCCGCGUGCAAAUUGCAGUUUACACCCUGGGGAACCGACCUUCCCCACCUAUUUAAGGAGGGGGAGAUGGAGGCUCCAUGCAUCUCAUCACAUUCACAAUCAACACUCCACCUUCAAGACAUUUGGGCACUACCUCUUCUUAGUUUUUCCCUUUAAGCUUUUAGAGAGAGAGUUGGGUGAGCUAUCAAGGAGGGCUUGGCUCCGUGGAGAGAAACUUGGGUAUGAAUAAAGAAUAUCUUUACUCCAAGUCCAUGCCUUAUCAUGUCUAAUAUAGUUAUUCAUAUGAACUAGAGUAUAGUUCUUAUGCUAUGGUAUAUGACAUAGAUCAUAGGCCCUGUUUUAUGAUGCUAGCAUAUGAACUAGAAUAUAGUUCUAGUGAAAAUGAUAUGACAUACAUUUUAGUAUAUAGUUCUUAUAGUAUAAUGCUACCCUAGGACUUUAGUCUAAUUGCUUCUUGUUAAUUAAUUGCCUAGAAAUAGCUUUGUGUGAAGAUAGGGGUUUAUCAUGUUCUUUUGAGUAGGCUCGGGCUUCUUACCUGUCGAUCUGUAGGGUCGGGGACCCGGGGGAGUCCGAGUAGGUUCUUUGCAUGUAAGCAUGGUGCUUGGGUGUAAAGGCCGGGUAAAUGCAUUGUCCUAGUCCACGGUUGAGGGGAUGGCGGCAGGUGGUGACAGCCCUAUCCGUCCUUGGCAUUCCCCCAUGUUCGGCUAGGGUGUAGGAGUCUAAAUAGUUGCGGAGGUUGCUGGCAGACCAGUACUCGCGUAACCUCCCAAACCAUCUAAACACAGGACUAGAUCUAAGUAGUAUAAUUACAUGAUUAACUUGUUCUAUGACAUGAUCUGUAUCUAGGACCACACCUGCUCCAAUAGGUUGUUUGUUUAUUCUUUUAUUCAAUUCAUUCUUUUAGUCUCUUUUUAUCCUUAGCCCAUAUGCCAUGCCUAGAUUGUGAUGGAUCAAUAUUCUACAUAUAAAUGUUUAUCACCUGCUAUGACCUUUGAUUCCAUUAUUGCUAUCAUAAUUACUUUAAUCUAUGCUUAUCUUAGAAUCCUUAACAUAUUAAGCCUUCCUUAGAGCGAACAUAUAAAUACGACACUCGGUAAAUCCCCGGGUUGAAAUGCUACACGAUAAUUCCCGUCCGCUUGCGGUACUUAAACUCCAAACCUAAGGAACUAUCACCCCGGUAUAUACUUAACACUAUUGCUAGACAUGCACCGAGCUAGUGACUUGUUAAGGAAUACCAACAUGGCAAUCCUAGUGCCACUACCAUGAUUAAGAAUUGGAACCCUACCCCAACGGUAAUAAGGCGCCGUUAUCGGGAAGGUAGAUCUAGCUUCCUAUUCAAGGUGGUGAUGCUACGGAUCUGCCAAUAUAACACUGCCAAUGUCAUUAUCAUGAGUAGAGCAGAACCCUAUUCUAGGUAGCGACGCUAAGAAACGCUAACAAGCAUUUCUGGCACCAUUGCUUAGGAUAGAUUUAUACUCUAAUCUUGGUGAUUGCAUUAGUAAGUGUUAUCACGACAUUUCUGACAUCGUUGCUGAGGACGGAUUAAACCCUGUUCUUAGUGAUGACGUUAAAAAAUGCCAACACAACCCUACCUAUGAGUUUUACAACCCAUCGGCAGUAGCUCGCCAACUAGCUUUUGGCCAACUGCCGAUCAGACUUUGUUAUGCUGAUGUAGUAAAACCAAGGGAGACAAUAACCAGCGGACUUGAGUGGAUUAGGAUAGCUCAACUCCAGCCAAAUGUCGAUACAACAGACAUCGAUCUAUCGGCUUGGGUCCCAGCUCUCUUCAUCACUCAGUUGUAUAAACAUUGGUGGGAAGAAAGGAAGGAACAUCUGUUCAGGGCAUCGGCUCAUACAUACUGUGGUAUGAUCGACUCCGACUACAAAGUCCCCGAUAGCAUUGUAAGUCUUUUACCGACACCUCAGUUCCUUUGUUAUCUUUAAUCCUAUUGAUAACUUAUUUAUAUAUUUUUUUUAAUAGGUCGAUAACCUAGCACCGACAAUUAGCAGAAGUGGAAGGCCGAUCGAACUUCUUCAAUCAGGCCCGAUUUCUCUGAUCGGCCACAAUGCGCCAAGUCUAGCAGCCCUGAUGCAUCGGAACGUACGCUUCAAGAAGACGACCACCAAACGGUCGAGAGUAUCUUCAUCGGUCGCUGCUGCUACCCUAGCACAGGCUAUCAAGGUAAAACUCUUAAUAAAAUUUCUUUAAAUAUCGAAUUCAUCCCAUACUCACUUCAUCUUCUCAGGGUACAUCGGCUGCAACGAGAACUUCAUUCGUAACUUUCAUUUUCUAUUAAAACUUCAUCAGUACCUUCCCUUAUAUCCAACUCAUGAAUCUUUAUUUUCUGUAAUAGUAGACUGACAAAUCGGCAAAAAACCAGGAGUGCUCAAACAUCAGGUGCCGAUGCCCCCUAGCCCAGUCAAGCUCCAACCAAGAGAAAGUGUCCCAAAGCACCAAGACCCAACCGAAGCACCAGAAGACAGCACCAUCUUCUCCACCUCGUCCAGUGUCCCCGAUCUAGGUAGCAUCAUCUCCUUCUGUAACAUCCCUGAUGUUACGGUUACUAAAAAUGGAUCAUGUCAUCAUGAGCAUUGCAAAUCAUAUUUGUUAAAGCACAUUAGCAUGCAUCAACUUAAAACAAGUUUAUUUUUAUUGCUUGAGCUUAGGGAGGUAGAGUGUGUUUAUGUGGAAUGUUGAUGCUUGUGUGGUUGCUAAAAUCCUAGGGUGGGAAUUUUUUUUCCGAAAAGCUAAGGGGGGGGGGGGGGAAACCCUGAUUUCUGGAUCCUAGAAUUGCCCCCUUUUUGCAUAAGUCAAAAACUAAGCAAAAUUUGAGGUUGAGUUCAAAAGCAAAGUUGUAGCUCUUGGCAAGAUGUACAACUUUGGUGUUUUGAGUUUUUGAAGUUUCAAUACAAAAUUCAAAGUAAUUUUGAAAAUACAGAUUUCCAGAAGUUGUCCCCUUUUCCAACUUAAAACCCCAGUUCAAAAUCUAUUUGGAAUUUUAAAAAGUGGUCAACAUGAAAGUUGUAGAGCACAAAAAGUUGAGCAACUUUCAUGUUGGGAGUUUUUCAAGUUGUUAUGCAAAAUCAAAAGUAAUUUUGGAAAUUCUGUUUUGCCCCAAUUCAAAAAUUUGGAAUUUCCUUGAUUUGAGUUUGAUUUUCAAACUGUUUUGGCCAAAUUCACCCUGUUACACUCAAAAUCAGCUCUGGUCACCUAAAUAUGAUUUGUAGCUUACAAAAUUUGGCACAACUUUUGUUUUGGUGGAAUUUGGGCUUUAGUUCAAAUUUUGGCUGAAUUUCGCAAGGGGACAAAAAGGGGGAAGAUAGGGGUUGCUACAGUGAUCCGAUAGGGAUCACCGGCACCCUGUCCAGCGCAUCCGCCGCGCGAGCAGCGCCGUGCGCAUGCGUGCAAGCACGCAGCUGCUUGCUUGCCUGCGUCGCCAGGCGACGUGGACGCCCCGGGCUCGCUUCCUCUUUCCCUUAAGCACCAGCACGGACGGCGCCGCGCGUUCUCCCCGUCCAGAGCCGAAGGAUCCUGACGAGCUUCUCUCUCAAAAUUCACCGUACUCGAUCCCUCUCCAGUCAAAUUGAGCACCCCACCGUGUUCGCCACACUCUUGCGAGCUCAGCGCACCCCCUAGCUCUUUCUCUAACCCACCCAGUCGCCAGAGCUCCUCUGUUCUUCUCCAACUCCGGCCGAGACCGCCGCCGUGAGCUUUCUCCGUGGCCGCGCUAUUCCAGUGAGCAAACGAUCGAACUAGCGGAUGUUUCUGUUUCCUUUUUAUCUCCAGUUGCUCAUGCGCUCGUUCCUUUUCCCUGGACGCGAACAGGAUCGCCGGAACGACCUCACCGGAGCCGAAGCACCCGCCCGACGGCAUCGUCUUCGUCGCCAGCAGUCUCGGCUACCUCCCAGAGUCCCGCGUUGUGAGCACCUUGCUCCUUAACACUCCCUGAACCUCCCAGCCUUGCUGGUUCACGCUCUACCGAGCCCUAGUGGCCGGCCGAUGGUCGGCCAUGGCGGCCGCCCGCUUUUCGUGUGGCCGGAGAGGAGGGAGACGGUAGAGCACGAGUAGAGGGUGGCAGUGAAGUCGCAGGGUCAAGGCGGAGUUGAUGCGCACGCACGCGUAGGCCGAGUACUUCGCUAACGGCGGCCGGAGUCGCGGCGGAGCCGCCGCGCGCGAAGGAGGAGGAACUGACGGGUGGGGCUACCCCGUCAGCGUCCCGCAGAGAGAGGGGAGAGGACGACCUGACGAGCGGGACCCGCUCGUCAGUAACCGCGUGAGGGGGAGGGCACGCGCGCAGCGUCCGCGUGGGCCGGGCGGGAGCGGGCCGGCCUGCGGGCCGAAAUCCGGCCACCCGCUGCAAUGUCUUUUCUUUUUUCUUUUAUGCAGUUUUUGUUUUAUAUUUGAAAUUGUGUAAUAAAUCCUGUGUUGAUUCAAAAAUCAUAGAAAUUUUUGUAGAGCUUCCCUAAAAGGAAUAGAACAAUGGAAAAAUAUUAGUAUCUGUUUUCCAAUAGUUUGCAAGGGUAUAAAAAUUACCUACUUUAUAUAAUGAAUAAAACUUCUAGGAAUUUUAAUAAUUUAUUUACAUGUCCAAAAAUCACCAAAAAUUGUGGGGAGCCUCUGAAUAUUAUUCCCUGGCUCCACACAAAAUUUGGUAGCAUUUGGAUAAUGUUUGAUUGAAAUAUUAAUAAACCCUUAUUUAGUACUUGAAUAAUAAUUCCAAAAUAAUUAACUAGUGAUUAGUUAAAUCCUCAUAAUUAGGGUUGAGUGACUUUUGGAUUGUGUGAUGACCUGAGGUCAUUAACCCUAAUGACCUUUGGCAUUUAAUUGUUGUUUAGCCCUAAUGCUUAAUUACUGUCAUUAGUAAUUAAUUAAAAAUUAAUUAAGAUAAAUAGAUUUAAUAAUUAAUUAAUUUAAGAUAAUUAUGAAUUAAAUAAAGUCUUAGAUUACAGAUGCAACCUCUUGGGUAAAAACAAUAGGUUAGUGAACAAAUUUAUUAUUAAUUAUUCUAUAUUGCAUUAGGAAGACAAAUUGUACUUGAUUUAGCCCUUCUUGCAUAAUUGUCAUACGCAUCUCAUGAGCAUUCAUCAUUUUGCGUAUAGUGUCCGUGACCGAAGGAGCGCCCGUUGAACCGAACCCCGAGGUCGGUGCUCCGUUCGAGGAAGUCGGAUCCGAGACUUGGGAAGUCUCCGAGGGUCCCUCUCUGCCCUGCAACCAAGGCAAGCCCCGGAUGCAUUAACCCCUCCUUGGAUGUUUUAAAUCUUUUAUCACUUAUGAAUUGAAAAUGCUGCAUUAGGUAGUUGAGAAUUGGGUUAACCUACUUGCUGCAUUUACUACCUUGAUAUCUGUUAUCCUGUCCUUGACACCUGUUUUAUUUUAAACUGCGUAGUGAUGCUUAGCCCUGCUACUAGAUAGGUUUUAAAACAAGAAAGUUUGAAGGGUUGUUGUGGAAUACACUUAUGAUCAAUGAUGUUUCAAAUUGAGACCGGUCGGUGGACUUGCUUUAAGAAUGGAGUCUUAAAGUAGUGUCUCCAACUGUGUCGGUUAAGGACCGGUCCGUUGUUGGCCUGCUGGGUUGAGAAUUUAUAGUACUAGCCACUUGCCCUCGGCAAGCCCAGUCUUGUGAUCCCUCGACGCGAACAGCUACUCGCGCACUGGGAGUGGAAAGAUGGCGAGAGUAGUGUGUACCCACCUUACGGAUCUGAGAUGACCGGAAAACAUCUAGAUCGGCUGUAGAAUGGUGGAGUACUGUGCUCUCGGGUGCCGCGAACCUGGUCAAAUUUGGGGAGAGCUUGAUUUGGGUUGAUAUAUGCAAGAUUUGAUUCUACAUAUGUCGGGUGGUUAGGAACUCCAGCUGGAUUGCUAAGCGAUUCGAAUCGUCGUUGCUCCCCGAUUGGGAGACUCAAUUCCUUCGACCCUCAUCGUAGUUAAAUAUGCAACUAAGUGAUAAAAUGAGAAAAGGGAAAAUGUCUCAUGAGAUUCGGAUCCCAAUUCCCGGACUCAUAGCGACAUGAAGCUAUGGCCAUCGAUAAAUAAUACUUAAUGAUAGGACUAGGAACUCACGGAAUCGUCUGUGGGGAACAACCAGUUAGACUAUCCUCGAAUUCCUCUGCCUCUGCGAGGGAGGAAUUCGGGGUAAAACUUGAAAAUAAGGAUGCACUACUAGUAAGCUUUUGCGCAAAACAAUUGGGCUCCUUGCUUAGCCACCCCUUGUCUACCCUAAGCCUGCAUCCCUAAAUUCUCCUCUUUUUCCGUCGGAUAAGUCUUGUUGAGUACUCCCGUACUCAGGGUUUCAAUACCCCUGUUGCAGGUGAAGCGCAGGAGCCGACUUGUUUCGGACCCUGCUGUGUGACCGUCGUCGAGGUUGACGACGAAGAAGAAUAAGCGUGACCCAUGGGCAGGGUCUGUAAAUUUGUGCUGUCUAUACUAAAGUUUCAGUUGCUCCGCUGGACCAGGCUUGUAAUAACACUCUACUAUUUGGAAGAACUCCUUUUGUAAAUUAAGUUAUGUAAUACUUCCGCUGUUUCACUCUAAAAUAUUAUUUUGGUCUUGUGUCGUUGAGUUACUGCUUUAUCUUCGCAACGAAUGAUCCUGGUGUUAAGGUGGCCACUUGCUAUCCUGUAAGGGCGAGAAGAAGCAGUUUUCGUUGUUUGACCAUUACCAGUGGUCAGGACGAGCAGCUUGGUACGCCACAGGUAGCAGUGGAAUGAGCGUCCCGUGAUGCUCAUCGGACUUCUAAAGUGGGAGGACUCCCGGCAUCACCGUCAGAGGUCCUUAGGACAAUGGCAGGUGCCGGUGGGCCCGAACACUUAGGGGGUUCUGCCACACCUUCUCCACCGGAACCCUGGACACAAGAAGUACCUUCUCCUCCUCGACCAGUACCCCAGCCACAAGAAGCACCAGCCGAUGUUUCUAAACAGAUUGCCGAUCCAGCUGAUCUGGGCACAUCCCUCCAGAACAGACCAUCACCAUACCCCCUCAAGGUAAAGUACUGAUCAUAGAAUUAUUACCGAUGAAUUUAUUUUAUAAGCUAUAAUCAUCCUUGUAACUUUUUAGGUGAAGUCAUUCCAUCGACAACCCCAGCGGAUCAAACUAUAGCACCAGCUGCAUCUCCACGCCAGAGGUAGGAAAUCACCCUGAAGCAAGUAAGUUAUUAGAUUUUCAGACUUCACAUUAUCAACACUUAAUCUUUGAGUAAAUUAUCUUUUUCUUUUUCUAGUAACAAGACUCCCCAGACAGCCUGUUCUCCUUUGCCAUCGAUAUCUCCGAUGAUGAAGGCGAAGAAGCAAGCUCUUCUCAGGCAGUUGGAAUCUCAUCGUCAGAAAUUAAAGCCAAGUUGGAAGAUUUGUUAGCCCUGCUGCACCAGGACACACCACAGCUAGUGGAUGAUUCUGAUCCGGCCAAAGAUAUAUUCAAGACCCUCCGUGGUCAAAUUCCAGCCGAUGCAGAAGAAGUCCUCUUCCAAGCUACCCACUUAGAGAGCCGCCAACUCCAAUAUCAGAAGGCCACCCAGCGUCUUGCCGAUAGAGCUGCUCAUGCCCGACUCGUUGAGGAAAUGAUACAAGUAAAGUGUGCUGCCGAUGAGAAACACAAGAGCAUUGGCGUUCUGCAGUCCUCAGGGGAUGAGCUGAAACAAAAGAUCUCUGAUCUAUCGGCAAGAAGAGAAGCCCUGCUAGCUGAACUCAAGCAAGUAGAAGAGGCCCUGACCCAAGCUCAGCAAGAAGAAAGCCAGCUGCCCAAGGUGCUCAAAACUCUUCGGCAAGAAAGAGAUGUCCAAGCCCGCAAAGCACUAUAGAUGAAGAAGAAGCUGAAGCCAGUGGAGGGUUCUGCCGAUGAAGAUACUCAAGAAAUAGAAGAGGCCAACCAGAUUCGUCUGCGCGCCAUAUCAGCCAUGCAAGCUCUGCUGAACCUGUGAACUCUUCAUCGGCAGCUUGUUUAAUUCUGCUUUCAAAAACUUUUAACCAUUUUGGUCUAGCUGAUAGGAUUGUUAUCGACACUUAAACACUAUGCAUGGUCCCAGAUACAUUUUAUCUAGCCGAUAGGACUAUUAUCGGCAUUUGAACCUCUAUGCAUCAAUCCAGAUACUUGGAUAGUAUCUCUUUAAAUAUUUUCCAUUUAAUGCUUUGGGAAAUUCAACUCCUUUGAGAAUUUCUAAGAUAUAAGCAUUGCCAGGAGCAGAUCGAUUUAUCCGAUAAGGACCCUCCCAAUUAGGCGACCAUUUCCCAAACUUUGAACUUUUAGUCCCAAUCGGUAGAAUCAGUUUCCACACUAAAUCUCCAUCGGCAAACUCUUUGGCCUUGACUUUCUUAUCAUACCAUUUAGCAAUUCUAUUUUUAUUUUCUUCUAUGCUAAUUAAAGCUCUCAACCGAUGCCCUGCCAAAUCAUCCAGUUCAUCUUUCAUUAAAGUGGCAUAGUCGUCGGCAUUUAGCUGAUCCUGAUAAAAGAUUCGCCUAGAACCAGUUUUUAUCUCCCAUGGCAAUACCGCAUCAUGUCCAUACACAAAUUGAUAGGGUGACACUUUUGUUGAGCCAUGACACGCCAUCUGAUAUGACCAUAAGGCUUCAUUCAACAAUGUAUGCCAUCUCCUAGGAUUUUCUUCAAUUUUCCGCUUAAUGAGCUUAAUAAUGCCUUCGUUAGAAGCUUUAGCCUACCUGUUAGCUUGAGCAUAGUGUUGACGGUCCUUAAGUACCAAAUUUAAUUAUCAAAUAAAUAAAGAAAAUGAUCCAAAUGCAACCAACACCCAGACUUAGGGUUUUAUCUGACAGAAUUCCACGAGUUUUGGUGUCUGUCUAUUUCUGCAGGGGGUUAUCAGGAAAUAUGGAAGAAAGGCCCACACAUCGGGUUUACAUAGAGAUAUUAACGUGUCGUGCAAUUUCUGUCAUCUAGAAGACUCCAGAAGCCAUAGGAACGAACGGGAGGCCGAGCGGGCUCGGGGGCAGGGCGCCCGCCCUCCCCUCUUGGGCGCCUGCCCAGCUACAGAGUCCAAACAGGACACGUCUCGCGGAUUACGCUCCACCGACCUAAAGGAUCAAGGAUAACCGUUCAAUCAAUGUCGGUUUGAUCUGACGGCCCAGAUUCACUUGAGGGGACUAUAUAAGCAGACCCCCUGGCCCCUGGAGGAGACACCCCUUGAUCCCUAUUCAUUAUUCAUAGACAGAGCAAAAGCUAGGGUUUGGAGAUGAGAGCUCUCCUCUCUUCUCUAAACUAGAGUAGAUCUAGAUAGUAGCGAGAUGGAGAGCGAGAGAGGAUUGGAGGAGAGGCCGGCCUGUCGGUUCUUCCUCCGGUUGUACUUCAUCAUGAUCAAGCUCUAAUCAAGCCUGCUCAUGGGAUGACUCUGGUAAUCUACUUCUAAUUCAUUAUGCAAUUACUAAUCAUGUAUGUUCUGGUUCACAACUCUUUUGAGUACUUUAAUCUAUAGGACGCUAUAGGUGAGAGUUGUAGUAUAGGUGUAAGCGUGGUGCUUAGACCUAGAUUACUUGUGGAUAUCCCCUGUCUACCUGGAUCGUGUGGUAGGCCGCGUAGGUGAUACUUACGUUGGUCCCCUGUAGUCCACCUCUUGUUAGCAGGACAGGUAUGGUUUAUCAUCCAAUUUAUAAGCAUCCUUUGUGGUGUAUUCUUAUCACGUGGUUCGUCCCAGACAUUGACAUACCCCUUUGAAGUAGAGAAACCAUAGUUAUCCUCUCUAUUCUCCUACCAUCGCCCAUAUAUUAGAUUGCUCUACUCUCUAAUCCCAUAUUAUCACUCACUGUUAUCUUACCUUUAAUAUUGUUCUUAUUCAAUUCUAUCAUCUUUCCUAUUUACACCUACAUAUCUAUCUAGGUUAAGUUAGAGCGUAGAUCAGUUCUCCCGUUUCCCUGUGGAUACGAUAAAACCUUUAAUCGGGUAAAAGCUACAACGGUAUCCGUGCGCUUGCGGAUUUAUCUGUGUGCGUAUAAAUACCAUAGUACACUCUAGUGCCACGCUAGGGAUGACAACCUAGUAUUCAAGUGGUGUUAGCAAGUGUCAACAAGCAUUUUUGGUGCCGUUGCCUGGGAGACGGUUGCUGAGUUGACUACGAACUAGCUUAAUCAUUUUCUAAAUAUAUAUAUAUAUAUACUUUUCCUUUUAUCUUUUGCUUUAUCUCUGCUAUUCUUUCUUCUUAUCUAAUCCUUGAUCUCUAGUCUAUCAUGAAUUCAAACAUGUCUAUCUAUGAAUUUAAUAGACCUACGAGCACACAUCUCGAACCACCAAAAUCUUCAAAGCCUAUCAUGACAUCUAGUUUUGAGAUAAGCCCGGAAUACAUAGAAUUUAUUCAAAAACAACCUUUCUUAGGAGAAGGUGAGGAAAACCCAUACACACACCUAAGAGAGUUUUAUCAAGUCUGUGACCUCCUUCGCAUUGAAGGCAUGUCUGAUGAGACCCUUAAAUGGAAGCUCUUUCCGUUCUCUUUAACGGGAAAAGCUAGACAUUGGUAUAAACUCAACAUAGGAAGUGCUCAUGGAGAUUGGAAGGAGCUAUACAAUAGUUUUCUCUCUAAAUAUUUUCCGAUCUCCAAAGUGGUAGAUCUUCGGCUCGAGAGUCUUUCUUUUAGACAAUUAGAAGAAGAGUCUCUUGGAGAAUCAUGGGAUCGCUUUAUUGACCUUACUCUCACUGGCCCAAAGCUUUCUAUUCCAGAACAAGUUCUUCUAUUUCACUUUUUUAAGGGCCUUAGUAGGGAAAAUAAGCAAACCCUUCAUGCGGGCUCUGGAGGAUCUUUCCACCACCUGCCCGCUAGUGAAGCUUGGAAUUUGAUUGAUUUAAUGAGUGGAAAGUCUCCUAGCAUUUAUAUCCCUAAGAAAGAGAAAGAACCAGUUCCUAGACAAGAAGAAGAAGUUUCGAUAGCCAAAUCACAACCACUUCAAUCCCAAACUUUAGCUAUCGAUCCUAAACCAUCAAUACCCCAAAAUUCUCCAAGGGAGGAAGGAAUUCUGACCUUAAAUUUUUUAGAUGCUGAUGGUUUAGACUUCUGGUUCCAUAAGAGACCUUCAAGCAGGGAUAAUUCAAAUCCUUGCAAUAAUGGUUCUCUUAAAGAAUGUCCUGGUGAAGAAGUCGAGGAUGACAUAUCAAGUGAAGGAGAGCUAAGCCAUAUAGAAAAUUCUAUCACCUCCCCUUUCCUGAUCACAAGUUCUAAAUGGCUAGAAUGUGUAGAAUGGAUGGAUAAGGAAGAAGCCUUAAUGGAUUCUGACUUUGGCUCAAUUUCAAAUGGUGAGUACUUGACUCCCUUUGAAGAUGAGAUUCAUCCAACUACAGAAGAGGACAUAGGUGAGACCAGUCCAGGAGGAACUCUGAAUAUUCCAAUUAGAGACGAAGAUAACAUUAUUGAGCAUGGAAUUUAUUUCAUAGCUACUUCGUUUACUCCAUGCUCAUAUGAAACAUCUUCCCAAUCUAUUGGUCUCUCCAACAUCACCACAUUUGAGAUCUCCAACCCCCUCUUCAUUUCUAUUUAUAAAAACUUUAAAAGGGCAGUUGUCGAUGCAUAUGUCUGUAAUAAAUAUUGCAGAUCUCGUUGAGUUGAUCUUGAUAUAGGUCAGCGUUGGAGGGGAAACCACUUCGCCGAUAUAAAUUGAUGGUUUCCCAAGGACAAGCUUAGUGUCUUAAAAUAAGCACUGAUCAGAUCGUAACAUGAGCUUCUAAUUAUUUACAACAUUACCUGGUGUAUUGAGCAUAUAAGGAUAAUUGUAAAAAUAUUCCUUUGGGUAUUCUUGUCACUAACCUUUCUAGGAUUGGAGCAAGAAGAUCGGAUGAAUGAUAAGCACAAGGUAUGUCCAACCAAUCAUCAUACAACAUUGAAUUAAAUUCAUCCAAACUUGAAUUUUGCAAAAUUCAAGCUUGGGGGAGUACUUUACAUCCUUUGCCGUGUUGCUAUGCUGGUUGUCCCUACCUUUGAGACAUGCUCAAUUUAUUAAAUACUAAUCACACUACUUCAUCUCCACUUGAGUAGAUCUCUAUAAAUGCUGUCAUGCUACCUUUAUCUAUUUACUAGCAAGUGUUGGUUUGGAAGUACUCACCAUACUUCCAUUGGCAUUUAAAUUAAGCAAGGUGCUUAGGUUAAAUAGCCUUCCUUAAUCUGAUUAGACAUGGAGUCUAGUUUGGUUACUGAACUAAAAACUACUUGAGUAGAUAUUGGUAUAUUUUGUCGGACUAACCCCUGCAGGAAAACUUUCAAUAUCAACCUGGGAAGUCCUGAGAUAAACUCACAUUGGAGACAAGGAGAGUGUCGGUGUUUUCCCCAUGGGGGGUCACACCAACGAGUAAAUUUGUAUGCGUGCUCCCUUUCCCAGAUGGUGAUGCAAAAAGACACACAAAGAUUUAUCCUGGUUCGGGCAAGAGAAGGCCCUACGUCCAGCAGGAGGAGGGAGAGUUUGUAUUAUUCUGCACCUAAGUGCUUGUACAGGGGUGAAUACAAGCGUGGUAUGGAAUGAGAUGGAGUAUGGGAGUUCUGCUGAGUAUGGGUGUAGUGUUGCGUGGUGAUCGUGUAUGUAUAUUCCCGUGUCUCCCCUUUUAUAGCUCCAAGGAGAGACCUAGGGUACAUGUAUAGGUGUCAGAGUUGGGGUCGAUAGAGGCAUGGCGCGCUGACCUACUCGAGGCCUCCGUACAGGCGUGGUCUCGAGCCGUCCCGUCUCGGUAGCUUGAUGAUGCUUACGCGUGCCCCUGUAUCCUGCUCUGCGUGCCGUCUUGGGCUGGUUCAUCGGUCGCGCGCCUGUACGGUAUAGCGGCAGAUCCGGUGGAGUGGUUGCGGUGUUGUCAGUCGACGCCCAACUCUUCCCCAGGAAGGAAUCAUGUCUGGUCGAGGGUUAGACGCCGUGCAAUGCCUUGUUGUUCAAAGCGUUGACUUUGGGUGUCUCGAGGGGGUCCCGAUUAGACACUCCAUCCCCGCUUUCUGUGUCCCGGUACGCUCUGGGUCGUUUGGUGGGGAAAGCUGCAAAAAGAAUGAUGGGACGGGUGCUUAUUCCCUAUCACGCUUCCCGUGACCAGCGUGUUAGGUGGGAAAGCGGCAGGCGCAUUUAAUGUCCUGGCUCUCAUGCGCGUCUCAGGCGGCGGACAGUGUCCUUGCGCUCGACGCCUCCCGAUUCGCUCGAGCCUAUUUCCGUAUUCGACGGUAGUUAGCGCUCGACCCCUGAGUGGUUCGCUCGACGUUGUUUCCGUCUUUGAGGCUGCGGCCGUCGAUGACCGCACGGCUUAUUAGGGCGUCGAGUUUGAGGGCCUCGAUCUAUGCAUGGGUAAUCUCGUUCUGUGCAUCUGUUAGGGUACCCCUUACUGAUACCCUCAACAGAGAGAGACACAUGAAGUUUAACAAUUUACACAAGGAAGACGUAGCUCAUAAGAGAUGAUCCAUGGAGGGUGCCACAAACACGAUGCACAACCACUAAGAAAGGAAAGCUUCCACAAGGUGAUACUGUACCGUCACUCUUCAAGUAAGGUAACAUUUUAAGGUACUUGACUAUCACUUUUAUAAGCUUCUCCUUGGUUCUGGCGUUCAUAUAAAUAAAGAGACAAACAUGUAUGAUUUAUAACUCCAAAUUAACCAGCCUAACUAAUUCAGCAUGUUUAGUCCUUUAAUCUUUGUUCCUAGAACUACCUCCAUGAUCCCACACUCCUAAUCAUAUGAGCUAAAAUGUUGCACAUUCAAUCUUUGGGAAGAUAUAAAGAAAAAGACAUAUACAUAGAUAGAUUAUCUUUCCAUAAGCUUGAGCGAUCUGGUCUAACAAAUGUUUUAAAUUCUAGACUCAUGAUCUUAUUAUCCAUCAACUUUCUCUUGCCCACUAUGCUUAAGGUUAGAGAAGAACAAAUACACUUUUGGUUCUGUUGGUGUUUUCCACCAACAGGGCCCAUGCACUUGAUCUCUGCGUUGUCUCUAUGAGCAGGAACACUUGGAGCAAAACAUGGUAGAGUUUUACAACUCCCAGAUUCCACCAAGUGAAGGACCCGGAUCUACGAGCACAAACACACUAAGCAGGAUGCUGCCAACGCCGCACUUCGAACUGCUAGGCAAACAAAGAACAUGGGUGACACCGUAUCAAGAGGUGCAGACGUCAAGGUCCACACUUGAAUCAAAUGACGCACCUAAAGAAUGAACACAGUGAGAAGUAUUGUUCAGAAGACUUAAAACAUUGGAUCCUUACCGAAAGGUAAAAUCGGUAUUUAUCCAUAUUUAUCUUUUCUGCAUUCCUUUUCCAUUUUUUAUUCCAUCACUUGCAUUAGCAUAUUUACUUUUCCACAUUAGCAUUAGAAAAGAAAACAAAAAAUAUUUGUUCAUUGCACUGCAUCAUAAAAUCUAAAGCUAGAUGAAAGUAGACUUGUGGUUUAAAACCCAUAGGUAUAUUGAUUGUGGUGGCAUAAAAUAAAUAUGUUUUCAUCUUACAAUAAAAAAAUAAUAAGUGCAUGACCCUGCUAAAUAAAUAAAAUUUAUUAGGAGGAAGCUCAACAUGAUAAAGGCAAAGAGAUUUUUAUGCUAACACUUAACUAGUUCCAAAAAGCUUUGUUGUCUAUUUGAGCUCCACAUCAUUCAAGGAUCAAAGAAGACUAGCAGACGGAGGACAUCGUAAUCGAUGUCAGGGUACUGCCGACAUUCAAAUACACCUCUGUCACCUACUAGCUACAUCAGAAGAAAAUACGUCAAAAUCUAGCUUGGGGGAGAGCACCCCCAUUUAUCCAGCUAAGUGUUUCUACUCAUGUUUAUACUUUACUCAAAUAAUAAAAAGAUGCAUAAUCAUAAAAACCUAAAUAAAGAUUUUGUGCUUAUAUAAAUAUCUUUGCUUAGUUUGCUACAUAAAUAAAUAAAUAAAGUUUGCUAUGAACCCUUAUGAUAAGCCCUCACAUGGAAACAAUGAAUAGUUGCUCUGCCUAGUUCUCAAAAUUGAAAUCUCUCUCAAGUUCAGGCAUGACUGUUAUGAAUUAAGAUUUGCUCUAAACUUGAACUUCUGGGAAGAGUACUUGAUCUAAAGUCUAAGUCGUUAACGGAUACGAUGUGGGAAGGUUGAGCUGCUAUUUAUCUGUUCCUAGAGAUGCUAGAAUUCUGGAGAAUUUUAUCUUUGAAAAAUAUUUAAAAUGUUGCAUGAUGAGUUCCUGUAUGAUGAGAGUUUAAAAUCCUACCACAGCUACAUAUACAUGCUUAUUAGACUAUGAACCAUACAUUUACUUUUUACUGCUUAUGAGCAUUGAGUGUGGUCAAGCUGUGUAGACCCUUAGGAGCUUGUCAUGCGGUUAAAAUCAAGAUUCACUUGCACGUUCACUCAUACAUGCUGCUUCUACUCCGGAAGUACGCAUAUACAUACAUCCAUUCAUUUCCAUCUCCAGAUUUACCCAAAAUUAUUCUACUCCUAUCCAGGAGAGAAUAGCCAAAAACAUUAUCCUAUCCCUGUUAUUCCCCGUGAAAUAAAUGCUCGAGAUAUUUUGGUUACUACCACUUGCUACAUUAUUCCAGGAGGGUGAGUGCUCUGAAAAAAGUGAAUACGAGGAAAGAAAAAGGGGCAAGUGCCCGGAACCUCAAAGAAAAGAAAAAGUGAGACGAGAGGUAAAAAUGGACAAGUGUCCGACAGUAGAAUUAGGGUUACAAGAUACCCACCUGAGAGAAAAGAAAAAGAAAAUAUAGAGCAUCUCAUUCCUCUCAAAAACCUUCAAAGUGCAAGAAAGGUAUGUAUCCCUUCAAAAGAGCAAAAGUAGAAUUAGACUUUCACCAUUAUUUUCACCAUUAUCACCAUCAUCACCAUACACCAUUCAUCCGCCACACAUGCACAUCUUGAUUUGACUUAUUGACUUGUUUCUCUGGAUCCAUGGUUUGACUAUGCAAUAAAUGUCUUGUAAGUAUGUAUUAGCUGUCUCCCACCUAUGAGCUCCAGAUAUCAAAACCUUGUUAGAGUAG